GUGACACCGUAGGAAGGGACAACACUGGAGGUGACACCGGGAGUGGGGACACGGGGGGCGGAGGGGACAGCAGGGACAGUGCCACCGACUGUUGGGGACACCGGGAGUGGAGGUGACACUGGGAGUGGGGACACUGGGAGUGGAGGUGACACCGGGAGUGGGGACACUGGGGACAGAGGGGACACAAGGGACAGUGCCACCGACUGUUGGGGACACCCAGAGUGGAGGUGACACCGGGAGUGGGGACACCGGGGACAGAGGGGACACAAGGGACAGUGUCACCAAUUGUGGGGACACCGGGAGUGCAGGGGACACUGGGAGUGGGGACACCAAGAGCGGAGGGGACAGCGGGGACAGUGCCACCGACUGCUGGGGACACCCAGAGUGGAGGUGUCACCACCUGACCCCCAAGUGCCAUUGUCCCCAAAUCUCACUGACCCCCAAGUGCCACUGUCCCCAAAUGUCACUGACCCCCAAGUGCCACUGACCCCCAAGUGCCACCGACCCCCAAGUGCCACCGACCCCCAAGUGCCCCUGACCCCCAAGUGCCAUUUGUCCCCAAAUGUCAGUGACCCCCAAGUGCCACUGACCCCCAAGUGCCAUUGUCCCCAAAUGCCACUGACCCCCAAAUGCCACUGGCCCCAAAUGUCACUGACCCCCAAGUGCCACUGACCCCAAAUGUCACUG
rnacentral:lncRNA from 1 species